rnacentral:rRNA from 1 species
UACGAAGGGGGCUAGCGUUGUUCGGAUUUACUGGGCGUAAAGCGCGUGUAGGCGGGUCGUUAAGUUGGGGGUGAAAUCCCGAGGCUCAACCUCGGAACUGCCUUCAAAACUGGCGACCUGGACUCAAGUAGAGGCAAGUGGAAUUGCGAGUGUAGAGGUGAAAUUCGUAGAUAUUCGCAGGAACACCGGUGGCGAAGGCGGAUCUCUGGGCCAUUACUGACGCUGAGGAGCGAAAGCGUGGGGAGCGAACAGG